ACUUAGUGAGCCGGUGGUUCUGCGUGGAAGGGCCAUCGCUCAACGGAUAAAAGCUACCCUGGGGAUAACAGGCUUAUCUCCCCCAAGAGUCCACAUCGACGGGGAGGUUUGGCACCUCGAUGUCGGCUCAUCCCAUCCUGGGGCUGUAGUAGGUCCCAAGGGUUGGGCUGUUCGCCCAUUAAAGUGGUACGCGAGCUGGGUUCAGAACGUCGUGAGACAGUUCGGUCCCUAUCCGUCGCAGGCGUAGGAAAUUUGAGAAGACCUGUCC
rnacentral:rRNA from 1 species